rnacentral:lncRNA from 1 species
AUGGAGCCAGCCUCUUAUUCUUCACUUUUCAUGUACUCAUACUUGAACUGACGCACUUCUAAUACCAGGAAAAAAGGAACUCAUGUUCCUUGGGAACCCCAAAGAGGAAGUGAAACAAAUGAACAAAACAAUUCCAUUAAAGAAAAGAACAGACACUGCUUUGAGAAAUGACUUGCACCCACAGUUAGCCAGCCUUCUAAAAUGAGAACAGCACUCCGCCGGAACCUGGGAGAAGUACUUUUUAAGAAUAAAAAGGGGAAAUAAGGAGUUAUCUGGGUUCCUUGGGGGUAGGGUUUGCCUUGUUCUUUGGGUUUGAACAUGACUCCCCAACAAACAGAUUCACGAGCUGUGGCCCACGGUUGGAGGGCCCACUCGCCAACGGCCUGUAAAGAGAAGCUGAGAAAAGUUAGCUUAUGAGUGGUGUGCCUUGUACGGGACUCAGAUGAGAUCGUGG